GACCUCCACCUUUGGAUCCUGUGAUUUAGGCAGAGCACACUCUUGGAGAGCUUGAUGCAUUAUAUGGCAAUGAUAAGUUUAAUUCUCUAGGAUGGGUCCUGACUAAACUCUCCAUUGAGCCUCAUCUUGGCAAAACGAUGAUAAUGGGGUGUAUUUUCUAUGAGAGAGAUCCUGUCUAUACCAUCUCUGCUGCUACCUGUUUUCAUUGAUGAAGGAAAGUGGGAUAUAUCCACCGAAAUUUUGCUGGAAACCCAUUUUCUGAUUAUGUGUCCCUUUUAUCAGUAUUCCAAUCCUGGAAUGAUUCUAGAACGGGUAGAGAAGAAACUCAGAUUCAAUUUUGUGAGCACAAAAGACUCAAUAGGGCUACACUAAGAAUGACUUAUGAAGCCAAAGUUUAGCUCAAAGAGAUUCAUAUUAAUUCUGGAUUUCCAGAAGAUUAUUGACACAAGUGUUUACUAACACUGGACCAGAUAAUAAUUUGGAUGCUGUUAUCUCCCUCUUGGCCUUUGGUGUGUACCCAAAUGAUGCUAUCAGAAGGAAAAGAGAAAUAUUCUCACCAUGAAGGGCAUAAUGCACUUAUCCACAAAUUGUCUGUUAAUUGUUUUUUUAGUAGCAAGACAAAAAGUGCUCCUCUCUUUUCUUUGUGUUUGGUGAAAAGCCGGGGGUGACUAAGGCCGUGCCUUUAGCAGAGAUGGCUCGGGUUCAAAUACUGUCUUUGAUCAGGUGUACUUGAAUCUGAGCCAUCUCUGCUAAAGGCAUGACCUUAGUCACCUCCCUGAAGUUGCUUCUCUUUGCCUUCAAGAAAGUAUAAUGUGAUAGGCAGAUUGUUCUUGUAGAUGACUGAAUUAAACUGCAAAUAUCCCAUGAAGCUGCUGCCUGCAUUACUGCUUUCCAGGAAAUCUUGGAGUUGAAGAUUCAACAACCUCUGGUUGUUGAAGUAACAAACAACCUGAUAUCUUCAGCCAGUUGGACCCUUUUAAUUAAUAUAUGCUGAACAUUAUCCACCAAAUCUCUAGGCCCUUAGCUCCUGUUAUCAAUCUUGUGGUUGGCAAUACACAGUAUGGAGAUGGUCCACAUCCUCCCAAGAUGGCCUGAUAUGACAAUGGAAGUAGAUAUAGGAGGGUACAUUCUAGUUAUGGUGUUGGAGGCUAUGGCAGUGGCUACAGUGAUGGAGGCUAUAGUAGUGGAGGCUAUGGUGGCACUACUCCACCCUGUCAGGAAGGAUAUGGUGGAGAUGGUGGUGGAGACUAUAGAGGACAUAACUGAGGUGGCUAUAGUGGUAGCUCUGGUGGAGACUACAGAAGGUCUAGUGGAGGUUUCAGAGGAUCUGGGAGAUGCCAGUGAGGAUAUGGAAGGGAGAGCUAUGGAAAUGGCUGCUUUGGACAAGGAAAAGGAAGUGGUGGCCAUUAAGGCUUGG
rnacentral:lncRNA from 1 species